UAACAUUUUCCCUUAACCGAUCCCAAUGCCUCACAACAUCUGGAUCUAAAUUUUUUUUGGCAUUGUGUGUAUCCAUAUGGGUGCUUCCGGUUUUGUCUCAUAGUCGUGGAGAUAAUUUUUUAUAAAAAAUGUAUUUCUGUUCCCAGUGAAUAUUACGAUUCCAAUACACCAGUUGUCUUCCAAGGUAUGCCACGUUACCACUCCGUGGCCAUCACCUGGACGAAUAUCUAAAUGUCAGGUAACGAAAGGCAAUAAUUAUAAUGCCAAAAAUAAAUAACACCAUGCUAUAAAACUAAUUGUGUCCACCUAAUAAACAAGCCAGGUAAGUAUUUUUUAAUUGCUAGUCGAAGAUUGUAACAACAAAUACGUUUCAGCAAGUCUAUAAAUGCAGAUAUAUAUGCUCCAUUAGCAGUGUGCAGUCCUGAUAUGGUAAUGGUGCAUCGAGUGCGCUUUUGAAACUGCAAUUUUCAGAAGUCCAGAUUCAUGCCCGGAUUAGUGAUGUAAGAUUCAUAUGAUCGAUAUGGUAAAUAACAUAAACUUGAAGUUGAUAAAGUUGAGACUUCCGUAUCCGACUUUUCAUUCUCACUUCAAAAUAAUGCUGACGAUAUAAACAGCGUCUCUGAGGAAGGCCGCUGAAGAGUAAUUGAACUAUUGUAAAUGGACAACAACGAAUUGGAUCGAUCUCCUUUGAGCUGCAAGGAAACGGUCAGGAAUUUUCUAAAGCAAAUCGCAAGCAUCAGAAGUAGUUUGCGCCUAUGCCCAACUCUCCAGUGGCGUCAAACGAUCAAGUAAUUCUGCCGGUACUUUCGGUGACGGAUACCUCAUUAUGGAAGAUUCAGGCCCUGUAUUUCAGGGACGCGUAAGUCAUGCGCUGGCAGAAAUGGAACGUUUCCUUAGAGCGGUGUGGAGGCCAACGAUGGGCCUGGUUUCUGCUGUCUUGUGUGGUUGCGCAUGUACGUAUGUUGUUCCCAGUGGGGUUGCUGCUGCCUUACACGAGCUGGGGAUAUUCUUUGGUGCACUGAAGGCAGUUGAACGGGACGUGCACGCGGACGUUACCUACUACACGAAAUUCGUUGUCAUUUAUUUUCUCAUGUCAACCUUUGUUCCCAACGUAUUUAGGGUAAGUAUGUUGUUUGUUGUAUCAGUAGGUGAAACUUAACUUCGCAGGGAUAGAAUCCGAGACCUAUAUAACAUUACUAUGUUACACGAAUGCAGGGUAACUCAAUAUUCACAUGUAGCAUGUAUUAAGAACUAUAUAGGCUCCGCCAAUCGACGACAGGCUUAGUGGACAGCCAGUCUAACAGGUCUUUAUUUAUACCUGUACAAACGAGACAAGCUAAAUUAAGGCAUAUUAUAUCAAUAGACAGAAGAAAAAGAACAAUCCAAAACUGUAGUUAAUGCUAUACAAAACUCAGUCUAAAAAUAUGAUGAACAUAUGUUCAUCAUACCUUUAACAGAACAUCCAUUCCUAAGAUAUUGAUACAUUAUAUAGUAAAUAUCAGUCAAGCAAAAUGAUUGUGAGGGCUGUUUUAACCUUAACUUCCGAUUUUUAUAGGUGUUAUUUAUUACAGUUAUCCUCUUCGCUAACGAACCCCUGAUCACAGAUAUCUAUGCUACGCUGUUUGCGGGUCGGUUUUUUCCAUCAGAGACAGUUCCUCAGGCAGGAGGACGAACCUCAGAUGAAGAGACUCCACUUGUCCGUCGAGGGAAAUUACCCAAGUUUAACACGAAGUUCGCCGCAUUUAAAGAGCCAUGCUGUCAUGCAAAAUAGUCUAGGAGUGUUGGGUGGUUAACGUUGUUUCAUAAUAGGUUCUUCCUGUUUUUUUCUCGAUAAUAGAUUAAUUUGCAGAUACGUUGAAAACUUAACGUGCAGUAUGUACUCAAUGGCGACUAUCUCCAAGCACUGUUCGUCAUUCCAAUACAUCGGAACGUUAAACCUUCUAUCGGAAUGGCGAAGCAUAUCUGCUUGAAUGUGUUUUCAUAGUUCCUGUGAGCGUGAAGCCGUCCAUAGUUAAAGUUUUUGAUGGCAAACGAUUGCUAUGGAAUUUUGUUCCCGUGCCGUUUCAUAGUUGUGCUGGAUGAAUCACCAAAUAAACAAGUCUUCAGUUCCAGGAUGCACAGACAUGAUAGCCAGCAAUCGUUGAAAAAACAUGACACAUCCAGUCUGUGCUCGAUGAAACAGACUUAAAGAACAUGACACAUCCAGUCUGUGCUCGAUGAAACAGACUAAAAAACUCUAAAAUAGUGUUAUGUGUGUAGUGUGCAGUAAUGUGUGCAAAUGUGCAGUACUAGGAUGAGAAAUUUUCAAACGGUUUUUGCCUUAUGAAGGCGCAAUUAUUCUACUUUAUAAUGCUGUCCUACACACGAUAAAGACGUCGCCAAGCGCUGCGAUCUGUAGAGUUAGAAUAUCGUACUGCGUAUGAUCGCAAGCAUCAGUUUACUGAAGUCGGAUAUCGUCAAGUUCAAUAUUCACGUUCUCUGCUUGUACUGUGUAUAGCCGGCGUGUACUACCACCAUAAAAACAUGACCGUUCUCGACACGGAACAACUCAGUAAUGGCCACAAGGAACUCAUGACGAUUUUGAAAAACGCUGGAAUGGAUGAUAUCAUCACCUCUCACGUAGCAGCCCGCCUUAACGGCUAUCUCGGAGGACAUGGAUCGCUGGCGCAAUUCCAAUCAGAGGACCUUGGCCUUCCGGAUGAGGCUAAGGCGUACGUUGUGAAGGUUCUUCAGAAGAGCGUUACAGUUUCCUGUCAUUAGCAGCAUUAUGCCUGUCAUAAGAGUAUAUAUACAUAAUAGUUGUUAAUAAAUAACUAGAGUACACGAAGUAACAGGUGCUUGCAUAAAGCCCACUGCCAGAACGCAUCAUAUGAUCAUCCCACGAUUCAAGAUAGCUAUAAAGCAGGAGCUAAUAGCAGCACAUCAUACGAGAUUAAUAAACUAUUGCGAACAUUUCAUCAGAAUAGGAACAGUCAGAUUAGCGGAAGUAACAUUGGUAUUUUGAGACGAUGGGCUACAAUGUGUUUGAGGGAUAUUAAUCGGUGCAAUUAGCUUAAUAAUUUUAUUAUGACAAUACAGUAUUUCCGUGGCAAAACACUUGGUAAUGUAUAUACUGUCCGAGCUUACGUAGUUCGGUAAGGCUGUGUAAUUCGAAUAGCCUUCACGUCGACCCAUUUAUAUGGCCUGCGACUGUUAUUUAUGUCAGUGAAUUGCAUACAAAGUUUUCUAGAGCAAAUCAUAAAGCACAAAAAGGGAAAAGUAAAAAUGAAGAUUGGUUUAAAGAUGUCAUUUAGCUCUAAA